rnacentral:tRNA from 1 species
GUCGUUGUAGUAUAGUGGUGAGUAUUCCAGCCUGUCACGCGGGUCACCCGUGUUCGAUCCCCGGCAACGGCG